UUGUGCUGUGGAGGGAGCUGCAAUUUGGGGGCUGAGCUGGAAUUUGGGGGCUGAGCCCCCUCAGUGCUGUGAGGAACUGCCUAUAAGAAAUCACCAAGCAGGUAUGGGAGCUUUGCAAUAACAAUGACAACACAGGGACAUCACUUCUUCUGCAUCACUGAGGAGGAAUGGCAGUUUUGGCUAAGAGAUUUUACUUCCACUCCUCCAAGAGAAAGAUUGUGGAGAGAUGUCAAAGCUUAUUAUUCAAUGGAGGUGUCAUACCAAGGCUCUUCUAUGAAUGACCCUGGCAGUGUUAAAUUCAAGAAAACAGUGCUAAAGGGUUUUCAAGAAGGAAAAGAAGAACCUUCAAGAGUCACCUUUGGGCAAACUCAGAAUUCAGAAUUGAAUCAAAGGAAAAAUAUUCUUUGCAGAUAGCACAAAUCACCAGUCCCUGCCCACAAGGUAGCUGCAACAUCUUCUUCUGUGAGAGUCUGGACCUGUGUGUCUUCAUUAACUCUUGGAAAAUGAGUGCAGAGCAUUUCUGAAUGGCAGGAUGCACAUUCCCACCCUCUACACUGGGCUGAGCAUUUGGAGAGACAUCUCAGGCCUGCCUGAGCUGCCAGAUUUGGAAUAGCACUUCUGCAACAGGAGUCUGAAAGUCUGUGUAGUGUCCCUGUAACCAUGCCUAAUGCAGGCAUCAGUAGUAUGUAGAAGAACAGCUAAGAAUUGGACUUUUAAACUCAUGUGGGCUUUAUGCCCUUCAGAAUUUGGCCAUCUGAAGCUACAGGCAAGCACCCAAGAGAGAGGGAAGUAUAAUCUACUAAAAUCACAGAAUCCCCAUAAUAAGGAGUUAUUGGCUCAAGUAGAUCACUUUCCAAUUUAACUUGUGCCUUUCCUAAGCAGCAUGUAUAUCUCCUACCUUCUGUGUACAGCAAAUGUAAGCAGUGAAUCCAGUUUGUACCAGCUUCCCUGGCCACAGAAAUUGACCCACUGUCUUUUCUUUCAAAGACAGAAUUUUUAAAGCUUGUGUUGCAGUUCAGCCUUGAGUUUGGGCUGACAUUUGUUUCCUUCCCCAAAUGAGUUGCCUGGUUACAUUUCAAGCAGACUUCUGAAAGUAUACAAAUGUACUUCUAAAACUGAUAAUCAUCUUGGGGGGGAAGGCUUAUAUCCUGUUUUUGCUUAUGAGAAGGGCCCCAGGCACCCUGAUUUAAAAAAUGAUCUGACAAGAAGCAAAGACUCAAAUGCUUCUUGACACAUAUACAUCUGACACCUCAGAUAAUCAGCAUAGUUUCAUGGAAUUAGCUGAAACUCCAUCCUCACCCCCCACCCCCCUCUUGUCAUCUCACAGCAGAAAACAUGCUGAAUAAGAGUGCAUCACACCAGGUCCAGGCUUUUAUUAUAUUUUCAGUCCAGAAGAAGGAAAAAACAUUCUUUUUUUUCUCACUGUUUCUCUUCCAUCAGCAGAGCUAUUCUUUCCUUGAUGCCAUAUCAAAUGUUUAAAAAUUUUCCACAGUUUAGUUUUAAAAGCAGUACAUGAAGCCAAAGAAGGAAAAGAAGAAAAAAGAGAAGAGCAAAUGGAGCCAUUUGAGCUCAGCUUUCAAACAAAGAAGCCAAAUCAGGAGCUCAGACCUUGGAGCUGAAAGCCCCAACCUCCUUUCGGACAAAUGCCUUUGCUCUACUGAUUUCAGUGACAUCUGCACAAUAUGGGCAUGGACCCAUCUUGCUUCAGAAACUAUGUGUCUGUGCAAGAUUUUGCCCAUAAAAGAGAACCUAAAGGAUGUGUGAGUCAUAUGAAAGCACAUGGAUUUGGAAAAGGAGCACUUCACAGUGUAGAGGAGUGCAAUAAAGCCUUGCUCGCCCCCUUACCUGAAGUAUUUUUGCAACACAUAUAUUUGCAAGAUUGCUUCUUUAUUUUCAUCCUCUUUGAUCUAUGCAGUUCCUUUGAUGCAUGCAAGUGAUAAAUCUCUGUGUCUUUCCUCCCAAGACUUUCAGACAAUAUGUGCCCUACUCUCAUGGCUACAGUCAGUGCCUCCUGAGUUUGGAUGCUCCUCUUCCUCCUCCUGCAUCCUCCUACUGCUCCUCCCACUCCAUAAAUUUACCAGUCCUUGCCCAUAGCUAUUUCCUUGUCCUUGGCAGCAUUGUCCUUAGGUGUCCUUACAAGUGACAUUGAUAGAAAAAUGACCUGUAAUCCUAAAUCCUGCCCAGAUCCACUUGGCUUCUGAGGAUGCUGGUGCAAGAGAUGAAAAGGAGCUCUGUAUGGUUGGGCAUUCAGGGGCUUGUUUUCAUUCUUCCAUCUCCACUUCAAGUGCAGCAUCACAAAACCUGAUUUCCUUCACCUUUCCUGGCACCUCUAUUUUUCUUGAUGACCAGUAUUUCUGGCCCUGUGUCUAUCUGUACCUGUGUGUCUCUGGGUCCUCUUUCUAUAUGUUGUACUUCAGGUCAGAAACUCUUCUUCUUCUUCAGUGCUUUUGAAGUCUCUGGAGCCACAAUGUCCCAGCCCAUGCCUGAACCUUCCAGCAACUUGAGUCAGGCCAUAUUGCUGAUGAAAUACUGUAAAUGAGGGGUUUGGAUUUCUAGAAAUAUUUUCCUUUCCUUUUUUUUUUUUUUAUCAGUCAUCUGUUAGUAACCUCUGAAGAAUGAAAUAUUCACCCAGGCCUUGAUUAUCUUGCAAUCUUGCAUCUUACUGAAGGUACCUUUUUUACUAACCUUCCAAAUUCUCACCUUAAUGGAAUAAAAUACAGUUUCUUUCCCAGGCUUUGCUUUAGCUCAGAGAGAUUUGAAUGGGGGGAAGAGUUAACAUCCCCAUAAUAAGACUAGAAAAAUUACAGACCAUAACAUAAGUUUUGGCUGCUUAUCUGAGGUCUCUGAGCUACCAUGGUUUCCAUCAGCUUCAAAUAUGGAAGCUCAGCAGCUUUGGAGAAAAGCAGGUCAUAUAAUUCAAUACAUUUCAUUCAAAAAACUGAUAUAAAACUGUUCUUAAAAAAAAAAAUCUCAGUAGCUUUUGCUUCUAUAAGGCUAGGUAUGCUUAAAAGGAUGGUGUCUGCCUCCACACCUUAGAGUUGCA